rnacentral:rRNA from 1 species
GAUGAACGCUGGCGGCGUGCCUAAUACAUGCAAGUCGAGCGAACAGACGAGGAGCUUGCUCCUCUGACGUUAGCGGCGGACGGGUGAGUAACACGUGGAUAACCUACCUAUAAGACUGGGAUAACUUCGGGAAACCGGAGCUAAUACCGGAUAACAUGUUGAACCGCAUGGUUCAACAGUGGAAGACGAUCUUGCUGUCACUUAUAGAUGGAUCCGCGCCGCAUUAGCUAGUUGGUAAGGUAACGGCUUACCAAGGCAACGAUGCGUAGCCGACCUGAGAGGGUGAUCGGCCACACUGGAACUGAGACACGGUCCAGACUCCUACGGGAGGCAGCAGUAGGGAAUCUUCCGCAAUGGGCGAAAUCCUGACGGAGCAACGCCGCGUGAGUGAAGAAGGUCUUCGGAUCGUAAAACUCUGUUAUUAGGGAAGAACAAAUGUGUAAGUAACUAUGCACGUCUUGACGGUACCUAAUCAGAAAGCCACGGCUAACUACGUG